rfam:Desulfovibrio desulfuricans subsp. desulfuricans str. ATCC 27774, complete genome.
CGGAGCGUGGCGCAGCUUGGUAGCGCACCUGCUUUGGGAGCAGGGGGUCGAAGGUUCGAAUCCUUUCGCUCCGA